GAGACUAAUAAUAAAGUGAGUCUUGAGGAAUGAAAAGAAAGAAAAAAUGAAAAAGAAGAAAAAGAAAAGAAAAAAAUGAGAAAAGUUUGAUUAUAUGUAAAGGGCAGAACACCACCUGACCAUCACCCCUCGUUCUGGAUCGUUCGGCCACUCCCGACCGACACUUCGCUCAUUUCUCUCUGCCACGUAUGUCUCGAGAACCCUGCUUCUUCCGGUCACUCCACGUCUCGAGGCCUCAGUGAACACCUAACCGAGUCUACCUCGAGCCUCGCCAACACCCAGACGGCAGAGCACUUCCUGGACUCUUCAAGGACAAGCCUCUCCUCUGCUGCCCUGGCUUCACCCUCUCUCUACUUCUCGGCGCCGUCAACGAGUCUGUCUUCAGUGUUGGUGAGAUUAGUGUUCUGUGGCCUUCAUUCGCUCUGGAGGGAGACUCUUGGUGAGACCUGGGUGGUGUGCAAGGUGUCCAUUUUGUUAUAUUGUGUAUACCUGUGUUUUCCAAGUCUAGUAAACUUGGAACCAUUCGAAGCUGUUUAUUACCGCCCCUACCGGGUGAAGUGUACAUCCUGGGCUUAGUUUAGUGGGGGCAGGCCAGUGAUGGCGUUUCGCACCUCGCCUCCGGAACAAAUGGACUAAACUAGUAAGUUAUUACUUACAUUCUGGCGACCUCGCCACGAUAUUUAACUUAGUUUCUUUGGGGUGUUGAAUGUGUAGUGCAGAGUUACACUUCGGCGACCUCGCCAGGGUAUUUAACUUAGUCUCUUUGGGGUGUUGAAUGUGUUAGUGCCGAGUUGUGCGAACUUGCUGUUUCCCCAGUUUUUCUGUGCCUAAGUGUUUCAGUGGUGCAAUGUUUUUCUUUCUCGGACGUGUUGUGUAGUUAUACGUUCGUCCUCAGUGAAUUGAGGAAGAUUAGGUGCAGACCCACGUGUCCUCGAAUUUACACUUGAUUAAGUGCAGGUCCAGUGCCUUUUAGCCACCCCUCGUUCUCUUGGUUUAGCCACCCCUCGUUCUCUUGGACGAGCAGCCGCUAAUCCGGGGAUUUCGGCUGGUUCACAGUACCUUACUGUGGCUUGUGGCAGCGGAGUAUUUUGACGUCUUAUUUUGUCUCCUAGACGUUGUCUCCUAGACGUAAGUGUGGAGUAGCCAUUGCUCCUACACAGGAACUAGUUAUGCUCAGUGCUUGCUAGUGAGUCUCUGUACAUAUACUUUGUGUGCUGUCCUUGUGUGAGUGUCCUUGUGUGGGGUUCACUUGUAACUAUGUGUACGUUUUGCUUGACUGUAUGUGGUGCGAGUGAUGAAGUAAUCUCUAUCUACCUGUGAGAUAUUUGAUCCAUUUUUGGGUGUGGUUGUGCACUUCAUCAAUUUUUCUACCCUUGUGGUUUAUUUUAUACAUGCAUAAUUCAUGUGUGCGUGAGACAAGACAGUUUUCAUGGUUGACUCAACUGUGUCUUGACUGUUUAAUUCAUAUUAAGGGAUUCCCCUGUCCCUAGAUUUUAAAGUCUCUGCGUUGUUGGGUUUGGUAGUUUUGGUUCUAUUAUAAUCUAAGAUGUCUACUUUUGCUCUGCUUGCAAAACAAGCAAUAAAGCUCGGCCUCUCAGGAGAGGCCGUUGCUCAGUUUGCUCCAACAAGCUCUUCCAACGGGAAGAGCGCAGGAACGUCAACGAGAAAGGGAGCGUGAGGAACGAGAAAGGGAGCGUCAGGAACCAGAACGGGACGAACGUGAGAAGGAACGGGUAUUUGAACUUGCCUGCCAAGUUGAAUUUUAGUUUAGGGAGCGUGAGGAACGAGAAAGGGAGCGUCAGGAACCGUCACGGGACGAACGUGAGAAGGAACGGGUAUUUGAACUUGCCUGCCAAGUUGAAUUUUAGGGAGCGUCAGGAACCAGAACGGGACGAACGUGAGAAGGAACGGGUAUUUGAACUUGCCUGCCAAGUUGAAUUUUAGUUUAGAGUCGGGAGCACAUCCUACCCGAUGCUGGCGUGCGAGGACCGUAGCUUCCAGCUUACUAAGGAGAGGACAUCGCCGCCUACCUGACCAUUGAGCGUAUUGCUACGCUCUUAAUCUACGUGGAGUCUCGCUGUCAGAUUUGGGAGUCUACUGACGGGUAAAGCUGCUGAACUCUGUUCCACCUUUAGCACUGAUACCAUAAGUAUUUCUCCUCCUAAAAGGGGAUCUCCUGACUGGUUUUGACAAGAAUCCAGAGCGGCACCGGCUAGACUUCAGGAACUGUAUGAUCAGAGUGGGGAAAAUUGCCGCCAGAUGUCUACCAGUCUUCAGCAGGUAUUUGACUCCUGGGUGGAGUCUUGUCGUAUUUCAGCAACGUUUGAAUCCCUUCGUGAGUUUAUCAUUUUAGAUCGGUUCAUUGCUUCCCUUUCUUACGAUCUCCGUAUCUUAAAGGAGCAGGAUACCACCAACCUUAAGACUGCCGUGGUUAAGGCUGGUAUUUGGUCUGCAGCUCACAACGCCUACCCUAAGCAGAACUCCAGCAGAGCCACUGGGAUAUUACCUACCAUAACAGGGCCUCAACAUCUACUGAAAAGGGCAGUGGUUAAGGCUGGUAUUUGGUCUGCAGCUCACAACGCCUACCCUAAGCAGAACUCAGCAGAGCCACUGGGAUAUUACCUACCAUAACAGGGCCUCAACAUCUACUGAAAAGGGCAAUGAGGCCAUUAACGCUAAACCGGACCAAACAAGCUACUUCCGGAUGAAGUGUUACAACUGGCAUGUAAGGUCUGUGUCCAAAGGAUCCCAGAGCCUUUAAAGAACCACAGGACAAAUACAAGGUAGGAUUUUGUAUGGAUGAGCGGUCUCUCCCGGAUUAUGCAUUUGCCGGCAUGAUCAACGGCUCCUGGGCUACUAUUGUCGGACACCGGCUGCAAUUGCGUGAUCGUCUCUGAGAAGGCAGUGCCUGAUGCUGACUUCUCUCAGCGACCUAAGGUAGUAGAGGACUAUCUUGGCUGGGAAGAUAUUUUUCCAACCAUUAGGUGCUAUUUAAGAUGACCCUAUUUCGAGGGUUGGAUUGAUAAUGCUAUCCUAGCUCCUAUGAAGCGCGCUUGUGUCCUCAUUGGCAAUAUCUUAUGAGUUCGUAGUCCUGGUGAGCCGUCUCAAGAAUAUAGCAAAGCACCAUCCUCCUCGCUCUGUCAUGUCGGUGAUUUGGCUGGUUAUGCUUCAGUCUUCUCUGCCCACUACGAGCAUAUGCUGUGUUAACCCGCAGUAGCAGAAUGAAGCGUGAUCAUCCUCUAGUUUUACCAGAAUUGCAACCCUUGGACGUGACUUCAGAGGAUUUCGCUCGUCUUCAAGAGUGUCCGUCUCUUAAAUCUUAGGAACAAGUUAACACAGAUGAAGAGGAGCGGACAAAGGACGGCUCUACUUUGUUACCUUCGCUGUACCGGACGUCUCUACCGGAAGUGUCUGCCCUCGAAACGUCCAGCAAAGGUUGGUAAGCUCAUUCUUGUUCCUAAGGAUUGUCGACUAAUAAUCCUGUCUGUUGGCCAUGAAAAACUUUUAGGUCAUUUCUCUCGCAAAGACUUUCUUGAAGGAUCCAGCCACUUCUGGCCUGGGAUGGGCACGGAUAUUAUCGUCUUCUGUCGAUCCUGUGACGUCUGUCAACGAAUGUCUGCCAAAGGAAGAGUCCGACCAGCACCUCUCCAUCCUCUUCCAAUUAUAACAACCUUUUUCUUUUUUCCAGAGUGGCGGUCGAUUUGUUUAGACCACUGUCUCCCCCAUCCUCGGAAAGCCACGGGUACAUCCUCACUUUAAUAGACUACGCCACUGGGUUCCCAGAAGCCGUGCCACUGAAGGAAAUAGACUCCAUCUCCGUUGCUGAGGCCUUACUCUCCAUCUUCGCUAGAGUCGCACUAAUGGUCGCAUUGAACGUCUACAUGCACCACUUCAAGCUUCCUACGAAAGCUCUGUAAGGUCUUCUCUAUGGAGCAACUGUUAAGGGACCUCUCUCCGCCCUUAGAGAUCUAUGGGAGGACCGGAACCUGAAGGACGACGACCGAUCCGCUGUCCGCUGUGUGGUAGAGCUACAGGAGAAGCUAGCAGAGACCGCGCAGAUCGCCGCCAACAAUGCAGACAUCAGUGCCUCGAAAUAUAAGAACUACUUUGACAUGGUCAAGAUAGACGGUUUCAACCUGGCGAUGAAGUCAUUCUUCCCAGCGAUUCUAGCAAGCUUCUUGUAACUUGGAAAGUAACUUGUACAGUUUAAGAGCGACGAGGUAAUGUUGACUACCUAAUUGAUUAUCCCCAAGGUCCGAGAUUGUACCACGUCAACCUCUUAAAAACCUUCCGGCUUCUUAAAACGUUACAUCCGUCGUGCUAGUGCCAGCUUUGCUAGAGUCUUGGACGUAAUGUCAACACCUGAAAGAGUCUUGGACGUAAUGUCAACACCUGAAGAGACCGAAGAGUAUGUCCCGGAGAACAACCACCUUAUUUGUGAAGACGACCCAGAGGACGAGUGCUACUCUCAGCCUGUGACACCUGAUGGCUGCUCCGACAAGGAUAGACGAUCCAGGAUCAAUUAAUUUCAUAAGGUGACAUCGAGUAUCUCCUGUCAGUUUGACGAUUGUUUUCUCAUGUUCCUGGGUGUACUUCCUCUGAACAUAUUAUCUUAACUACCACUGUCUGCAUCAGCACAAAGGUUUACCCUGUCCCUGUCCAUCUUAAAACGUUUCUUUGAACAGAAAAUCUCUGACCUUUUGAGAAAGGAAUCAUCCGACGGUCUUCUCAACAUUGUUCGCCGGUCGUGAUGGUUCCUAAGCCAGACAACACUUGUCGGAUGGCCAUCGACUGCCGUCAACUCGAAAGCCUCAGUCUUCCAGGCUGAGCCCAGCUGCAACAUUGAGGAAGAUGUGUACAAGUUUUCCGGUUCAAGAUUCUUCACUGAGUUAGAUCUCUGCAAGGCUUAUUACCAAGUCCCUUUGACAGAGCCAUGCCACUGACAGCUUUCCCAACCCACUUGGGCCUAAUGGAGUUCACCAGACUACCUUUCGGCCUGGUCACUGCUUGUGCCACCUAUAUCAAGCUCGCAAACGUGGCUUUUUAUUUUGAUAAUGUUUUUAUAUACUCUUCAGACUGAGCCCUGCAUUUAAAGACCCUUCAUGCCAUGCUGGACAGAAUCAGGACCCAUGGACAUGCAUUCAAGAUCUCCAAGUGCCAUUUUGGAUUCCCUUCCAUUCUAUACCUUGGAUUAAUUUUGGGAGGUGACUGUCUUCAUACCCAGCCUGACAAAGUGGAAGCGCUCUGCAAGAUACCACCACCAUCCACUGAGAAACUUCUACGAGGAUUUAUUGGAAUAGUAAGUUUCUACAAGUCUUUUAUCCCUCGGGCAUCCUUCCUCACUGGCCCUCUGACUGAUCUGCUAAAAGACUGUUCGUGAGCCCCUUCCCUGGACGGACGGGUUGCAGGCCUGUUUCGACCAGCUCAAAUUAAUCCUCUUCUAACCCCAUACUUCGUCUUCCCGAUCCUAGCCGUCCUUUUGUACUUGGACGGACGCAAGAAUGAUCGCCUUCACAAAUGGAGUCCAGGACUGCAACCAUACAAAGUCAGGGUCGUUCAUGUUGCUGGAGCUGACAAUCUAUGUGCCGACCUCAGUUGAGUUUAAAUAUUUUCUUCUAUCCUUUCUUUUCUCCAGAAGGCAUUGCAUUCCCUAGGAGUGGUGUUCUACAAGACUGCCGUGGCUACUCUCUUGGAGGGGGGAGUUAUGUAAAGGGCAGAACACCACCUGACCAUCACCCCUCACCACCUGACCAUCACCCUCGUUCUGGAUCGUCCGGCCACUCCCAAGCGACACUUCGCUCACUUCUCUCUGCCACGUAUGUCUCGAGAACCCUGCUUCUGGUCCCUCCACGUCUCGAGGCCCCAGUUAACACCUAACCGAGUCUACCUCGAGCCUCAUCAACACCCAGACGGCAGAGCACUCCCUGGACUCUCAAGGACUGGCCUCUCCUCUGCUGCCCUGGCUUCACCCUCUACCUGCUUCCUGGCGAUGUCAACGAGUCUGCCUACAGUGUUGGUGAGAUUAGUGUUUCUCUGGCCCUUCCUCGCUCUGGAGGGAGACUCUUGGUGAGAGCCGGGUGGUGUGCAGGGUGUCGUUGUUGUUAUUGUAUACCUAUGUUUUUGUAAGUCUAGUAAACUUGGAACCAUU